UACCGGGGUAACGACGAGCGCGUGGGGCUAAGGAAGCUACCCUUGAGAAAUGGCAGAAGCAGUUUUCCGUGCCCCAAAGCGGAAAAGAAGAGUGUAUGAGAGUUACGAGUCUCCACUGCCCAUCCCUUUUGGUCAGGAUUGUGGGCCUAAGCAAGACUUCAAAGUGUUCACAGCAGAGCUGAUAAACAACAAUGUAAUUGUGAGGAACGCAGAAGAUAUGGAGCAGCUCUAUGGGAGAGGUUAUUUUGGAAAAGGUAUCCUGUCUAGAAGCCGUCCAAACUUCACAAUUUCAGAUCCUAAGCUCAUUGCUAAGUGGAAAGAUAUGAAGACAGACAUGCCUAUAAUCACGUCAAAGAAGUAUCAGCAUCGUGUGGAGUGGGCCGCAGAGCUCAUGCGAGGACAAGGGCAGGAGGAGAGUACAGUGCAGAGAAUCCUCCAGGAUUAUACAAAACCACUCGAGCAUCCUGGUAUAAAAAGGAAAGAAGGUCAAUGGCACGAUGAGAACUCUGAAACGACUUCCAAAAUGGAAGUUACCGCAGAUAGAGAGGAACCUUCUGUGAUGAAUGGGGACUCAGGAAAGUCAGUUGACAUGGACGGUCCCAGCAAGCCAUCAGACAACCUGCAGCAGGGCCCUGGGCCUGACCCGCUCGCUCCCAACGGCGUGGGUGAACCUGUGGCGGAGGUGGCCAAGCCACAGCACCGCCUCCUGCCCCGAGUUUCUUGUGGCAAAGAAGGUGUCCUCCUCCCCCUAUCUGACACUCAGCCUGGAGACGGGAGCCAACCCACAGGUCUCUGUGCCGGCGAGAGGGUGCCUGGUGAUGAGUACGUGCUGGUGGAGGAAGAUGUGUAUGAUGAGAGCGAGAAGGAAUGUGCCCCAAGUGAAGAAUUGGCACCAAAAAGGAGAUUAGUAUGCAGAAGAAAUCCAUAUAGGAUCUUGGAGUAUUUGCAGCUUAGCUUAGAAGAGGCCUUUUUCCUGGUCUAUGCUCUGGGAUGUCUGAGUAUUUACUAUGAGAAGGAGCCUUUAACAAUCCUGAAGCUCUGGAAAGCUUUCACUGCAGUUCAGCCCACAUUCAGGACUACAUACAUGGCAUACCAUUACUUCCGAAGCAAGGGCUGGGUUCCCAAAGUGGGACUUAAGUAUGGGACAGAUUUAUUGUUGUAUCGAAAAGGCCCUCCAUUUUACCAUGCAAGUUACUCUGUCAUUAUUGAGUUGGUCGAUGACCAUUUUGAGGGCUCUCUUCGCAGACCUUUCAGUUGGAGGUCACUGGCUGCCUUGAGCAGAGUUUCAGUUAAUGUCUCCAAGGAACUGAUGCUGUGCUAUUUGAUUAAACCCUCUACCAUGACUGACAAAGAGAUGGAGUCCCCAGAAUGUAUGAAACAAAUUAAAGUUCAGGAGGUGAUUCUAAGCCGUUGGGUUUCUUCACGAGAGAGGAGUGACCAAGAUGAACUUUAACAAUUCAACCUCAGAAUUCUACUUUAUCAGCAAAUGCUAUUCAGUCUCCUACAGUAAGCCAAGUUCAGUGUGAGGCUCCUUAGCAAAGUAAAAGACUUGGCUUUGAAGCAGCACCCUCUCAAAACCCUGAGGGUGAGCAAAAUUUCUGGAGCCAUUUUUUUCUCUAUUUCAUCUGUCAUUGGUGGUGACGUUUCUCUCCAAGCCUGAUCAGUGUAUCAUGUGCCUUUCUGGUAAAACAUGAAUCCUUCAUCAAAGUCCUGUCCUCCUGUGAGCACUCCACGUCACAUAUCUUAUCAUCAGCUAAUGUGCCUUCAAGGUUGUGGGAACUCCCUUCAUGUAAUGGCCACAUUAAAGAUGCAGAAAAGCCACAAGACUGCACAGGUAUUAUUUCUAACUGAAGGCUCUAGAAGAAUGUUCAAAAGCAUCAUCUUUAGACCAGCCUCUUAGGAAAGAUUUUCCUUCUUCAAGUCCACAGUGUGAAUGUCAUGUAGCAGCCCAUGCGCUCUUCAGCAUUACCCAGGGGCCCUGGGGUUCUGGAAUGAUGUACCGCAAAGGUUUUGGUUUACAUGCGCCUCACAGUUACCAGCAAAAAGAGUAGGAUUAGCUUAUCUGUAGAUGUAUUAUGUCCUGGAACUUUUUUCUCACCUUCUGAAAUAAACGUAACAGAUGGCGUGUGUUUUCUUUUUAAAAAGCUCAGGUUGAGCAAGAUUGGAAAUUUGUUCUGUGAUAAAACCACCUUCAGGCAUGGCCGUGGUUCACUGAGGGAGAUGCUGCUGCCUCACUGAAAACGGAAGUUGCUUCACCUACUCUCUUCAAAGUGUGUUUAUGUGGCUCUUAAAUCAUGAACCUUCCAGGCUUGCUUCAAAACGAAUUCUUCACCAAAUCCUCCCUCUGCUCCAGCACUUCUCAGCCCUUCCGAGGCAUCUAAGCUGCUUGCUGUAGCAACAUGUGCUCAGGGGCAUCGCGCUGACCAGCUGUGCACCCUCCAUACAAGGAUUUCACUGGAUUUCAAGUAGCAUGCCACACUCAAGAGCACCAUCAAACUUCGUGGAACCAACACUUUUUCCAAGUUCUGUUUUGUCACCCAGUGCAAAAAACCAUACACAAAUAAAGGGGGAACACAU